GCCGCUUGACGUUUUCAUUGCGCUGUCAUUUUUUUAAUUAAAUGAAUGGACAAUGUCAUUUCUUUGGCAAAGAGUCUGACUAAAAGUGCUGGCAAAAGAUGUGUUACAAAUUGGAAAUAACCUUUCAAAUGAAGCAGUGCAACUAGGAGGCAGAAUGAGUCCAAUAAAACCAAAUCCUGCCAAAGCCUUGCUACGUAACGAAAUUGCCGCUAAAAUCGCCGCCUUGACGAAUGAAGAGAAAAAAAGACAAUCUCAAAUUGUUUAUGAAAAGGUUAUCAACCACUCAUGGUACAAAUCAUCAAGUCGUAUUGCUCUCUACAUGAGCACCGAAAAUGAGAUAGACACUGCUCCUCUAAUCAAACACAUCCAAGCCAGAGGGGCUGCGGCCUUCGUGCCACAGUACGCCGGAGGGCGCAUGAGGAUGUUACACUUGGAGACCGGUGAUGAGCAGACCAUGCCAAAAACUAAACACGGGAUAUCUCAGCAUGGGAAAGACCAAGCCAGGGACGAUGCUCUAGAAACAGGUGGAUUAGAUCUGAUCAUAGCUCCAGGGGUGGCGUUUUCUCGUUCCGGAGACAGGCUGGGACACGGAGGUGGAUACUACGACAAGUUCAUCACUAAUUUGAGGCUCAAUCCAGAAACAGCUCCGAAGGUAAACUGGAAAUUGUCUUUCUCAAGUGACACAUUCUCAAUGCGUCUCACAGUUUUUAUGAGCAGUUGCGGUCUGCUCUACAAUUUUAGAUGAGAAAAAAAGGUAUAAUAUUUUAUUUUUGAAUACGCUUUGAUUAGCUUCAGACGUAUGUAUGUUAGUUUGUUACGGAAUAUUUGAACAUGAUUUUGACCCCCUUCAAAACGUCGGAUUAACUCGAAAUUUGGUAUACUUAUUAAGGACCGGUGACAAUUCAAUAUUUAAAAAAAUAAAUUGUAAAUUAUAUUGAAAAAAUUGAAAUUCAAAUAAAAAAUGAAAAAUAAAUAAUAGUUUAAAUAAACUAACAAAAAAUGGGGUGCCUUUCAGGAUAUUAUCAAAAUAACCCUUCUACUCACAUCUGUUCAUAAAAUAUUUAGAACUACUGAUACCAUGCACCCCACGUUUUAUUUACAAUAAAAACAUUUUUUCUUACACUAUUUUUAAUUCAAAUUUAUUAAAAUUUAUUUUCUAUUUUUUAGUUGGUUUUUCUAUAAAAGCGUGUUUUGUUAGUUUUUUUAAACUAUUAUUUUUAUGUAUACCCUAUCUUUGUCUCUCGUUAUGUAGUAAUAUCUAUACUAGUUCAUUAGAUCUUCACUAAUCCGGCGGGAAACUUAGUGGGCUAUGUCUAUGGCUUAAAUUAGGGUAGCAACUAGGUACGUAGGCAAGUACAUUUUAGUUGAAAAGUCUGAUUAUUAAUAUAAUAGACAAAACGACCUCGCCCUACCUAUUAGUCAUAGGUAAAUCUGUUUUUCUAAUGCCCUAAUUACUUUCAAUUUAGAUAGUUGCAGUGGCUUUUAACUGUCAAGUUGUCGACGAGGUGCCGACUAACGAACAAGACCAGAAAGUGGACGAGGUUAUAUUCGCUGAAUAAAUACUGUAGCUAUACAGAAACAUGAAGAAAUCGCACCCAAAGAAUGUUCGGAGUGCCAACGAUUCUUUGUACGAUAAUCUUUAAAAAAUAUAUUGUAAAUUUCGCUGUGUUUUUUUCGUAUAUUUUUUUAGAAAAAUGUGUUACGUUUCCCCGUUAUACUAUCAACAUCUUGCAUCGGUAUCAGCUGAAUUGAAAUAAAAACCGCUUAAUUUACAAA